CACCAAUGAGAGAGCGCGAGAAUGCCGCGGCCUUCCUAGAUACUAUUUGCUAUUCAAGGUUGGUUUCGCUGAGGUGUAAACAGGAAUUACUGACAAGUUCAUACAGUGCGACAUGGAAUGCGCAUUUAAAGGGGCGGACUUUUUCUCUGUAAAACUCGCACACGGAGACGAGGCCAUGUCUUGGUCUUUUCGUGCAAAAUUAUUAUGUAAAAAAGUGAUAAUCAAAUCCCCUCACACAUCAGAUAAGUAAGUGAAGAGCAAGUAGAGAAGACGUGAAUGUGAAGAUUGAAUUCAGUCAAGUCACAGGUGAUGGUGAACAGCAGAGAACGUACUGUGCAAAACAGAAUUGAGGAUCACACUGUGUGAUGGUUGGCAUCUUGGUGAUAGUGGGUACACCACAAGAGAGGAGAUAUAACAAAAGGCAUUUCUGCAGACGAUCAAUCAUAGAAUGGACCGUUGGUUCAUUAAAAGGUAGAUGGCAGUGUUUGGACUCGUCCGGCGACACACUGCUGCACAGAUCCACAAAGGUUGGCUGCCUUGUGAUGGGUGCACAACAUAGCCCACAAAUAUGGACGGUCUAAAGGCAUCAGCACAAUUGCAGUUCAUAGACAUUUGGAUGUUGAAUGUUGAAUGUAAAGAGACUUGUAUGUAUUAUAACAUUGAUAUUUACUUGGUGAAAUAAUGUUGUUUUUAUUACAAGUUCAAUAAGAAUGUUCUUAAAAUCUCUGUUUUGGUGCAUACCUCCAUGUACUGACAGCAGUCUGGUCAUUGUAUGGACACACAAUACUAUUGCUGUCUCCACUUAGCUGCUCCCACUUUUGGUUUUCUUUAAAGGCAAAUUUUUGUGAUUCUCUACUUCAGUCAGUAAUAACUGAAGUUAACAUACACUUAAGUUUCGUUUUCUGCCUUAUUUCCCCUAUUAUUCCAUUGUUUUGUAAUAAAGGGGUUGUUCAAGAACAUGGGUUAAUUUAUAUGGUGACCAAUAAUGGCGCACUGCACAAUAAUAUGCAGUGAAUACAUUUGACUUGAGCAUUCCUAGUUCUCAUCCUCUUUCUC